ensembl:lncRNA
AUCUCUUUCUGGAGAUUGCUCCUCUUAGUGUUUUUCCUGUGAGUCUACAACAAGGACAAUUCAAGUCAUCGAGAACAACCAAGGGACUCGUUUUACUGGUGCAAUGAUACAAUGAUGGGCAGAAGAAAACAACAGUGAAUGAUGAUUCUACUUGCCAUAUAAUCCAACAGGGGCAGGCCUCACUGAAUGUUAUAACGGUAUUCUUAAGGCUGCCCUGAAGACAGACUCCCAGUCCCUGAAGGGGUGGACAAAAAGACUCUAUGGAACCCUGUGGGACCUGAAUGAGAAACCUAGAGAUGGCAGACCCAGUUUCCUGAAAAUGCUACAGACAACAUGGAUCUCCCUGCUUAGGAUCCAAGUUACUGGCACUGAUAAUCAGGUAAGACCCCAGAUUGGUAAUGAAAAUAAUCUUCUGCUCCUUGCCCCUGAGAAUUUAGAUCUGGGUACCCACAGAAUAAAAUGGCCUUGUAAGGCGCAGGUAGGAACUAAGUGGUGUAACCUACUUGUACCUUGGGGGAGAUUAUUGGAGGUGGGAGGCUCAGUAGUCCCUCUGGUAAUAGGUACACAGCCUACGGAUACUGUGGUCAACACUCCAGUCUUCAUUGCUUAAGGGACCUCCAUCAUGUCCCUAUAGAAGAUCAAGACAUGUCCUUUGGUGCCUGAUAUAGUUAUGCAGCUGCAGACAUCUGGCUGGAAUGUAUAGUACAGGCAGCUGGGACAUCCCCCCGUACGAACUCAAGUGUUGUCCCAGGAUAGAAAUACGGCCUGUAUCUUGCAUUGGAGGGCAGACCAUCCCCUCCUGGUACCCCUGAAGUAUCUGUAUUACUUCCCGUGAGUCUUUGAGCCUCUAGGAUCACUGGAAGGAAGAAAAUGCCAUCAACGUGUUCCAGUGCUGCUGUGAGAUCAUGUGUGACACCUGGUGAUGGUCUACAGGGGACUGAUGGAGCAUAGGAUGGACCUGCACCUUGCAACUACAUGCCUUCAGUAACAUCAUCGAGCACUGGCCCAUGAAAGAACAUGAACUUUCACUAAUCACUUGUCUUAAAUUGUGUCAACCUGCUUUGCUUUGGGAAUUAUAUAAGUGUCAUGAUGUGUUGGAUCUCUGUAUUAGGGAAGACUCACCCUUGAGUUACCUCAAUCAUUGGUUCAUGCUGUGAAGGGGUGGAGUGUAUGGGAACUGCUGAAUAACAGCCUGAACCUCUGAUUGAUCACCUGAGGUAAGCACUGAGUCAGCUGCAGGAGCACAGGUGAAGGCAAUUCAGCUGUGGGACCGGAAGGAGAUUAUAUAUAUGCAUGCAUAUAUACAUACAUAUAUGCGUGUGUAUAUAUACUAUCUGUGGAUACCAGUCUGACCACACCACUCUGUAUAUUUGUUGACUAUAUAUGAGUUUUGGUAAGAAUAAUGGCUACAAGACUGAGCAAUAAGUAGAUGUGUUUGCAUUAGAGAGGGUUGUGGUCUAAUUUUCAACAUACGUAUGCAAAUGCAUUUGCAAACACAAAACUGUAAUUUGUCAUGGUGUAUUUUUCAUGCAUAUUGAAAGUUUGUAUUUAUAGUUAAUACACCAUUCAAGAAAAAUUGUGGAAACAUUGUUUUGUAACACAUUUGAAUUAUGCUAAAACAACACUGUCAUAAUGUGUCAUGUCUUCCUGCAUGUGAAAUGAAUGUACAGUCUUUGUUUAUAUGCUGCUCUAUAAGAUGCAGCAUCUUGGGAAGCAAAGCAGAUUUUCAUUGCUUAGGUAAGUAGUAUUGACAGCGAAGGGCUAAAAGCAAACAGUGUAGUGAUUUGUGGAUUACUAAGGUUCUUUUUUAGUAACUGUCAGUAAUAGAACAUUGUUACUGUUGUUACUAACAUUAUUACUGGCUGUUCCCCAUGCAUAGUAAAUUUCAGCCAAAAGGACUUUUCUAGCAAAUCAGCCAACAGAAUAGUACACCAGUUGACUCUUAAGGCAAGAAUAGCACAAAGUGAGCUGUGCUGGAUGCUAAAUGCUAAGAAAUAUUGGAAUAAUUCUAUCAUUAUUAUGCAAAUUGGAAAGAGAAACUCUGAUAGAGUAAUAAUCAAGUUCUGUAUGAAGGUGAAAUGAUUUCCUUUUUCUGUCAAGCUUUUUCAACAUAGAUUUUUAUGGCUUUCAGGAAAAAAAAAAAAAGAAUGUAUUCUGGUAAUGCACAGUAAAAAUACUUUUAGGCAGUUGAGUAGACAGUAAUACUAAUUCUUGAAAACGUGUUGCAUUCCUAGUUGAGUGGCUAGGAACAACUCAUGACCCUGAUGGGUUAAGCAUCUGCAUGCAUGGUUAUGGAUUGUUUGUAGAAUGUUUUGUUGAAAUCUAAAGGUGGGUGGGAAAGUUUCAAGAGGAAACUUGUGAAAAUGUAAACAAUAAACUGUUAUAAGCAAUAUGGAUCAU